AUUGAACGCUGGCGGCAGGCCUAACACAUGCAAGUCGAGCGGAUGAAGGGAGUUUGCUCCUGGAUUCAGCGGCGGACGGGUGAGUAAUGCCUAGGAAUCUGCCUGGUAGUGGGGGAUAACGUCCGGAAACGGGCGCUAAUACCGCAUACGUCCUGAGGGAGAAUGUGGGGGAUCUUCGGACCUCACGCUAUCAGAUGAGCCUAGGUCGGAUUAGCUAGUUGGUGGGGUAAAGGCCUACCAAGGCGACGAUCCGUAACUGGUCUGAGAGGAUGAUCGGUCACACUGGAACGGAGACACGGUCCAGACUCCUACGGGAGGCAGCAGUGGGGAAUAUUGGACAAUGGGCGAAAACCUGAUCCAGCCAGGCCGCGUGUGUGAAGAAGGUCUUCGGAGUGUAAAGCACUUUAAGUUGGGAGGAAGGGCAGUAAGUUAAUACCUUGCUGUUUUGACGGUACCAACAGAAUAAGCACCGGCUAACUUCGUG
rnacentral:rRNA from 1 species